CCUACGGGAGGCAGCAGUGGGGAAUAUUGGACAAUGGGCGAAAGCCUGAUCCAGCAAUGCCGCGUGAGUGAUGAAGGCCUUAGGGUUGUAAAGCUCUUUUACCAGGGAUGAUAAUGACAGUACCUGGAGAAUAAGCUCCGGCUAACUCCGUGCCAGCAGCCGCGGUAAUACGGAGGGAGCUAGCGUUGUUCGGAAUUACUGGGCGUAAAGCGUACGUAGGCGGUUAUUCAAGUCAGAGGUGAAAGCCUGGAGCUCAACUCCAGAACUGCCUUUGAAACUAGGUAGCUAGAAUCACGGAGAGGUUAGUGGAAUUCCGAGUGUAGAGGUGAAAUUCGUAGAUAUUCGGAAGAACACCAGUGGCGAAGGCGACUAACUGGACGUGUAUUGACGCUGAGGUACGAAAGCGUGGGGAGCAAACAGGAUUAGAUACCCUGGUAGUCCACGCCGUAAACGAUGAUAACUAGCUGUUCGGUCUCUACGAGACUGAGUGGCGCAGCUAACGCAUUAAGUUAUCCGCCUGGGGAGUACGGUCGCAAGAUUAAAACUCAAAUGUAGUAGUUAGNGUGAGAGUGCGAGACGACACGAGGAGAGG
rnacentral:rRNA from 1 species